rnacentral:lncRNA from 1 species
UUUUGAGACCAAAAGGCAACAUAAAGGGCCCUCGGCUGACCUAAAUAUAUUAAAGCCCUCUGCACAUAGCUUUAUUUACACCCCCACUGAAGAUCUAGGCUCUGGAGAGCCUUAGCCACAAAGUGAAACCAAUCAGGUCUCAGGGACGUGACUGGCACAGGUCCCAGGAAGCCAUGGAAGGACCCUUUGUCCCUGGGCAGAAACAGAUGGUGACUGGAUAUCGGUUCUCCUGUGGGACAUCACCAGGGUCCCACAGGUGAAAUUCACUGGGUACCAAUGCCUCAGGCAAGCUGCUUUUUCUUUUCAAACGUCUGCCUGCCUGAAGUCUCCAGAUACACGUUCACUGUGGAUGAAGACGGGUCAGGAAGGCCCAUGCACUGGGUUUUAUUCCCCCUGUAGAUGUCAUCUUUCUGACACAGGUUCUGAGCAGGAGUACUGUCCUCUCAGAAGACCAUAUCUCUGCUGUGUACAUCUUCCCUGGACUUGUAAGGAUCCGAGAAAUGGAGAAGGGCAGUAGGCUGCCUUUGUGUGUUGGCGGCUUCUGAAGCCGUCUCUCAACAGAUGUCUGUUGAAUGGAACGUGCUUGAGCUGGAGUUUCAGCUGCUAGGACAUCACAUGGAGUUUUCAGAAGAAACUAUGUGUGCUUUCUCCCUACAGCGCCCGCUCUUUCCCCUCCUUCCUCUGCAAGCUUUCC